rnacentral:misc_RNA from 1 species
GAUGAAGAACGUAGCGAAAUGCGAUAAGUAGUGUGAAUUGCAGAAUUCAGUGAAUCAUCGAAUCUUUGAACGCACAUUGCGCCCUUUGGUAUUCCUUAGGGCAUGCCUGUUCGAGCGUCAUUUAAACCUUCAAGCUAAGCUUGGUGUUGGGUGACUGUCCGCUUCACGGCGGACUCGCCUCAAAAUUAUUGGCGGCCGGUACAUUGGCUUCGAGCGCAGCAGAAACGCGAACUCGGGCCCGUCGUAUUGGCUCCCAGAAGCUAUCUUCACAAUUUUGACCUCGGAUCAGGUAGGGAUACCCGCUGAACUUAAGCAUAUCAAUAGCGGAGGA